AUCCAGCCAUGCCGCGUGUGUGAAGAAGGCCUUAUGGUUGUAAAGCACUUUAAGCGAGGAGGAGGCUACUGAGACUAAUACUCUUGGAUAGUGGACGUUACUCGCAGAGUAAGCACGGGCUAACUCUGUGCCAGCAGCCGCGGUAAUACAGAGGGUGCGAGCGUUAAUCGGAUUUACUGGGCGUAAAGCGUGCGUAGGCGGCUUUUUAAGUCGGAUGUGAAAUCCCCGAGCUUAACUUGGGAAUUGCAUUCGAUACUGGGAAGCUAGAGUAUGGGAGAGGAUGGUAGAAUUCCAGGUGUAGCGGUGAAAUGCGUAGAGAUCUGGAGGAAUACCGAUGGCGAAGGCAGCCAUCUGGCCUAAUACUGACGCUGAGGUACGAAAGCAUGGGGAGCAAACAGGAUUAGAUACCCUGGUAGUCCAUGCCGUAAACGAUGUCUACUAGCCGUUGGGGCCUUUGAGGCUUUAGUGGCGCAGCUAACGCGAUAAGUAGACCGCCUGGGGAGUACGGUCGCAAGACUAAAACUCAAAUGAAUUGACGGGGGCCCGCACAAGCGGUGGAGCAUGUGGUUUAAUUCGAUGCAACGCGAAGAACCUUACCUGGCCUUGACAUACUAGAAACUUUCCAGAGAUGGAUUGGUGCCUUCGGGAAUCUAGAUACAGGUGCUGCAUGGCUGUCGUCAGCUCGUGUCGUGAGAUGUUGGGUUAAGUCCCGCAACGAGCGCAACCCUUUUCCUUACUUGCCAGCAUUUCGGAUGGGAACUUUAAGGAUACUGCCAGUGACAAACUGGAGGAAGGCGGGGACGACGUCAAGUCAUCAUGGCCCUUACGGCCAGGGCUACACACGUGCUA
rnacentral:rRNA from 1 species